CCUUUAGUCUUCAUAUUUGGCAUGGAGGUUAGUCAUGAUUAGUAGAUGACCCCUAUUGAUUUUGAGGUCACUAGGUCAAAGGUCAAUGUCACUGGGGCCUUGACUUCAAAAAGCUUGUCCGCCCAAUAACUUAAGAUCCCUUUGACCCUUAGUCUUCAUAUUUGGCAUGGAGGUUAGUCAUGAUUAGUAGAUGACCCCUAUUGAUUUUGAGGUCACUAGGUCAAAGGUCAAGGUCACAGGGGCCUUGACGUCAAAAAGCUUGUCCGUCCAAUAACUUAAGAUUCCUUUGACCUACAGUCGUCAUAUUUGGCAUGGAGGUUAGUCAUGAUUAGUAGAUGAUCCAUAUUGACUUUGAGGUCAAAGGUCAAGGUCACAGAGGCCUUGACUUCAAAAAGCUUGUCCGCCCAAUAACUUAAGAUUCCUUUGACCCACAGUCUUCAUAUUUGGCAUGGAGGCUAGUCAUGAUAAGUAGAUGAUCCCUAUUGACUUUGAGGUCACCAGGUCAAUGGUCAAGGUCACAGGGGCCUUGACUUCAAAAAGCUUGUCCGCCCAAUAACUUAAGAUUCCUUUGACCCACAGUCUUCAUAUUUGGCAUGGAGGUUAGUCAUGAUUAGUAGAUGACCCCUAUUGACUUUGAGGUCACCAGGUCAAAGGUAAAGGUCACAGGGGCCUUGACUUCAGAAAGCUUGUCCGCCCUAUAACUUAAGAUUCCUUUGACCCACAGUCUUCAUAUUUGGCAUGGAGGUUAGUCAUGAUUAGUAGAUGACCCCUAUUGAUUUUGAGGUCACCAGGUCAAAGGUCACAGGGACUUUGACUUCAAAAAGUUUGUCUGCCCAAUAACUUUAGAUUCCUUUGACCCACAGUCUUCAUAUUUGGCAUGGAUGUUGAUCAUGAUUAGUUGAUGACCCCUUUUGAUUUUGAGGUCACUGGAUCAAAGGUCAAGGUCAUAGGGACUUUGAC